CUAAGAAUAGUAUAAUUUAUUACAUAGAUUUUGGGGAUCUAAAAUGAUUUUUUUUCUUUUUAGA
rnacentral:tRNA from 1 species